GUUUUUAUAGUUAAUAUUGAUAACAUUAACUUUUCAUGUUAAAGUAAUUACGGAUGUAAUUAAAAAUA
rnacentral:tRNA from 1 species